GCCCUCUGAUGCAAGGUAUAAAGGUCCAAAAGAAACUGACUUAAGCUACUCUACAUAAAAAUAAUGCCUUCUAAACUUUAAGCUAUCUUGUUAUUUUUUAGCAUAUUAGAUUUUUCUACAUAGGAAUUUUAGAAUGAGGCAAAGAAGUAGGUGCUAGAUUAUGUUACGUGGAAGAAGGGGCUUCCACUCCACUAGCUAGAGCUGAUUUACAGAAAUUCCUAUGUUAACCAUUUCAUUUAUGGAUUCUCAUUUUUUUGACUUCAUAGUUGGCAAUUUUGGCAAGGGACCCGGUGCAAACUUUUGAGUGUCAGCUUUGUGAUUUUUCUCACCGUGCUUUAUGAGAUGCCUCCUACAGCUGGCAGGAGGCCUGAGACUGGCUGUGCUAAAGUGCCAUGAUGCUUCUUCCAUAACUCAGCUGUGUUUUGCCAGCUCCAUUUCUAAACUGCCAUGAGAGCAGCCUGGAAGACACACUGCUCACUUACAGCAGUCUUUAGUACAAACAGGAUAGUGUCUUGUGUUGGCACUCAUGCAGUCAGAUGGAUUUGUCCAUGUAGCUUUGGAGGAGCAACAUUAUGAUUUCAGAAAAAAGAAAUCUGGAGGGUGAAGUUAAAAGCAGUGUGUUGUUUGUUGUGGUUUGGGUAGUUUUGAGUUUGGGGUUUUUGUUUUUGUUUGGGUUCUGUUUUGUUUUUUUCUUUGGAGGCCUCUCUCUGCAAAUGCAUUCAGAAAGUGCAACUUUGCUGCUUUCCUUGGCAAGCUGUCAAUGUCUGGUAGGAUGAAUUCCUGGGAGGAAAAGCACUGCUGAAGAAUUUUAUGCCAGAGAAGGUGAUGAUCCCACUAAGCUGUUUGGUGCUCAUUUGAAGAUGGGACUGAGCAUGCAGCUAUUUGAGUCCCAGAGCUCUACAGAUGUCCAGAUGGAAGACUAGAGUGCACAGCAAUCAGUGAGUAAUUGGAGAAAACCAAACAGAACUGGGGAAGUUUCCAGCAUAAAUACAUUUGACAGCUCAUGGAGAGAUAACUUGCUGCUAUUAAUCCUGCUGGCUAAUAACAACAUAAAUUUACCCUGCCCAGAGUCCUCCUUCUCAGUGAUCAAAAACUAGAUGACAGACAGUGCAAAAUGAAAACAGAUGAAAUGAAUUUCUGAAUGGAUCCUGCCAAGUUUCAUUUUCUCCACAAGUUCUUGGAAAGCCCAGAACCUAUUCCCAUGUGCACAGCCAGAAUUUGCAGAUUCUGCUCUUUACCUCUUCAUCCUGCCAUCUGACAGUUUGCCAA